CCUCGGGUGGCAGCAGUGGGGAAUAUUGGACAAUGGGCGAAAGCCUGAUCCAGCCAUGCCGCGUGUGUGAAGAAGGCCUUCGGGUUGUAAAGCACUUUCAGUGGGGAAGAAAGCCUUGGGGCUAAUACCCUCGAGGAAGGACAUCACCCACAGAAGAAGCACCGGCUAACUCCGUGCCAGCAGCCGCGGUAAUACGGAGGGUGCGAGCGUUAAUCGGAAUUACUGGGCGUAAAGCGCGCGUAGGCGGUCUGAUAAGCCGGUUGUGAAAGCCCCGGGCUCAACCUGGGAACGGCAUCCGGAACUGUCAGGCUAGAGGGCAGGAGAGGAAGGUAGAAUUCCCGGUGUAGCGGUGAAAUGCGUAGAGAUCGGGAGGAAUACCAGUGGCGAAGGCGGCCUUCUGGACUGACACUGACGCUGAGGUGCGAAAGCGUGGGUAGCAAACAGGAUUAGAUACCCGUGUAGUC
rnacentral:rRNA from 1 species